ACUGAGGCUUUCCUGCGUCACAACCAGCUAGUUUUAGAAAUUCCUCUGUCUUAUCUGAUAAAAUAAAUUCAUAUUUUAAAAGGACUUUCGUUUAAGAACCAUCUGCUGAUGCUCUCAUCAUUCUAUUUAAGCUCUUUUAAAAGAACUUCCAAGUGUUCAUUUUAAGGAUAAAAAUAUUAUCUGUUCAGUCCACGAAGGAAAAUAACGCAUUCAUUUUUUUUUGUUUUGUUCCAUCCGCUUUUCUUUUCAGCCACUUGUAGUAUAAUCCACUUUCCCCUUUAGGGAAAAAAAAAGAAGAAAAUAAUGGACGGUGCUACCACUUAGUAAGGCGCAAGUGUCUUACUUCUUUUUCAUAAAGGAACUUUUCAAAUCAGUACAAAAAGAUGGUGAAUGGGUCAAUGUAAAAACAUUUACUGACCGAGACAAAGUGGUCAACCUCUUAGACAAUGACCUGUUGCAUGAAGGGUUACUGCCAUUUAUACAGGGCUGUGACACCUAAUAAAAGUCUUUAUACUGCCUUCCAAUCGUCCAUUUCUUUUCAACAUUAGAAAACAGAACACGUUCUAAAAUGGUUUUUAAUUAUCUGUUUCAUCGAAAUGUCCACUACAGCAGGAAUUCAAUGACUGUGAGUCACCAACCGGCAGCUUUAACAUCUUCCGAAGAUCCUGAUAAAGAUAAAAGGAGGUCUGCGUAUUCCGUUAUCUGAUGUUGAACGUUCUUUUUACAUAUUCUGUUUGAAACUCAUCUACAUGGUAAUAAAGAUAAUUCGUUUACCUGAC